CCUACGGGGGGCAGCAGUGAGGAAUAUUGGUCAAUGGGCGGGAGCCUGAACCAGCCAAGCCGCGUGAGGGAAGAAGGUCCAGCGUAUCGAAAACCUCUUUUGCCAGGGAACAAAGGCGGGGACUAGUCCCCGGAUGAGGGUACCUGAAGAAAAAGCAUCGGCAAACUCCGUGCCAGCAGCCGCGGUAAUACGGAGGAUGCGAGCGUUAUACGGAUGUAUUGGGGUAAAGGGGUGCGCAGGCGGCCUGUUACGUCAGCGGUAGAAGCCCGGGGUCCAACCCCGGAGCGCCGUUGAAACUGGCGGGCUGGAGUGGGAGAGAGGUAAGCGGAAUGCGCGGUGUAGCGGUGAAAUGCGUAGAUAUCGCGCAGAACCCCGAUUGCGAAGGCAGCGUACCGGAUCAAAACUGACGCUGAGGCACGAAAGCGUGGGUAUCGAACAGGAUUAGAUACCCGUGUAGUC
rnacentral:rRNA from 1 species